GCCAUUUUGUUAAUUAUUUUUUUGAUUGUUUCUGUAGUUCUUAUUAUCCAUGUUCCUCUUUUUUUGCUCUUUCCCCUUGUGAUUUAAUGACUAUCUUUAGUGUUAUGUUUAGAUUUCUUUCUCUCUCUCUCUCUCUCUCUCUUUCUCUUUUUUGGCUGCACCAAUGGCACACCGAAGUUUCCAGGCUAGGAAAUGAACCCAUACAAUAGUCAUGGCCUAUGUGACAGUACCAGAUCCUUAAUCUCUGGGACAAUGCCAGAUUCUUAACCCACUGAGCCACCAGGAAACUCUUCCCUUUCUCUUUUUUUGUGUGUAUAUUUUGUCUUUUAACCUUCUAUUAACUUUAUACAUGGUUGAUUUACUGCAUUUAGUGUAUGAGAUUUACCGUAUGUCAUUACUGAUGAGAGUUUUAGUUUCAUACUUUUAAUAUUUAUAGUGGUAGCCUUUUAUUUUCUGCUCAGAGAAGUCCUUUUAACUGGUCUUGUAAAGGAAUACAGUAAAUCUGAAGUAUAUUAGUUUUUGCUUGUGUGUAAAGACUUUGAUCUCUCAAUCACAUCUGAAUGAGGAGAGUUCCUGUUGUGGCUCAGUAGGUUACAAACCUGACAUAGUGUCCAGGAGGAUAUGGGUUCAAUUCCUGGCCUUUCUCAGUGGGUUAAUGGUCAGAUGUUUCCACAAAUUGCAGUGUAGGUUGCAGAUGUGGCUUGGAUCUGAUGUUGCCAUGUCUGUGCUGUAAGUCCCAGCUGUAGUUCUUAUUCAGUCCCUAGGCUGGAAACUUCCAUAUGCCACAGGUGCAGCUAUAAAAAGAAAAAAAAGAAAUCUGGAUGAGAACUUUCUCAGGUAGAAUAUACUUAGUUGGAAGUUCUUCCUUUUCUUCAGUUUAAAUAUAUUGUACUAGUUCCUUCUACAGAGUUUCUGCUAAAAAUGUCAGCUGGUAGCCAAAUAGGUGUUCGCUUGGAGGGGGAAAAAAAAAAAAACUUGCUACUUUUCACUUGGGGUUCCUGUGGUUGGUGUCAACUUGAUGGUAGAGUGCUGUCACAAAUGAUACAUAUAAAGGGAUUUAAAAAUGUAUCUCAUGACUUUCUAGCUGUUCAAAACAACUCUGUUUUCUCAGUACCAUUCUUCCUGCCCUGGCACUCAUUUCUCCUCCUUUAUUUGUGGAUAGCCAGCAGUAGAAGGAGCAGGGGAAGUGCUUGUGGUAGCAACUUUGCUCACUGUAUUAAUGACCUACCUAUUUAUUAGCUUCCUGAGCAUGGACACAUUACUUGAUUUUUCAAAAUUUCUAUUUUUCUUAGAUAAAAUAGGUAUAAUAACAAUGCCCACCUUGUAGGAUUUUUGUGAUGAUUAAUUUAGAUACUAUUGUGCUAAGCAUAUGUUAUUGGCAAGUGCUUAAUACAUAUUAGCAAUUAUUAUUAUUCUAUCAUGAUAUCAGCAUCCAAUAGACAACUGAACCUGAAGGCAAAACAUGGAGCAGAAAAAACCCUAGAAGUAUAUUUGAAGCUGAGCAAGAUAAGAACACUGACAGAAAACUACUUUCCCUCCACAUUUCUUGCCAAUCUUGAUGCUGAAAUGCCUACAAAUCUUGCCUUAUGAAUAAAAUUUCACUUAUCCAUAAUUCAUAAUCAAGAUGUAACCAUUAAAAAAAAUAGAAGAUAGAAAGUCAUCUUUUUAGCUGUCUUUCAACACACAGACAGACAAUAAGCAAGGUACAGAGAGAGAGUAAAGUGAAUCUUCCACUUAUAUACCAAGAUUAUACAGACAUUACUGCCAGCAAAUCAAAGGGAUGGCAGCUUCCCUUUCCUUCAGCCUAGUACACUUACCCAUUAUAGCCUACCAUGUGAGCAGCAAGAUUAGAAUUAAGUUCCAAUUUCAAAAGGGAGGAGGACAGUCAUAUUUCAAAAGGGAAAAUAUAUUUUUCAUAUAAAUGGUAAUUGUGUUAGCCGAAAGUAUAUUAUGUAAAUUGUACAAACUACCUGUAGAGAAGUAUGUCAUUACCUGAUGGGAAUAAAUACAGGUACUGUGUGGUACAAGUAUCAUUUGGAAAACCCAACCUAAGGCUCAUAGACCUAACUUCCAAGGUAAGUUUGUUCCUGGUUGAGAUUCUUCUCUGUCAGGAGGCAAUAUGGUUAGGUCACAUAUCCCUUUCCAUUUCUUCCAGGAGUUCAAGUAUAGGCUAAUGCAGCCCUUGGAUCUGUAUUAGGGUAAUAAAGAAUCACUGUCUAUGAUGGCACCUUUGUGUCAUAGUAGCAGUCGCAUCGUGGUGUAUUUAUACAUCUCCCUCCCCAGACUUGCUCUCUCCUCAUAUACAGGAAUAGAAACAAUAUGAGGCAGGCUCACAAUAGCACAUCAGCAAGUCUUAGCCAGAAUAAAUGGAAAGAAAAUUUUACAUAUGUAUAAUAGAACUUUUAGGUGUCAUGGCUGAGCUUUUGAAAGUAAGUGGGAGGGUGUAGAUGGAAAGAGGAAUAAAACCCACUGCCUAUCCUGCCACUCAACAGUAUUUACCCAAAGAGCCCUAUACCUACACUGUACCUACACUUUAUUGGUGCUAGGAUUGAGCACCAAUCCAUUGAUUAACAACAAUUGAUUUAUUGUGCUCUACUUGCAAAAUAAUGGGAAUAG
rnacentral:lncRNA from 1 species